rnacentral:rRNA from 1 species
GACGAACCGUCCUAACGUUAUUCGGAAUCACUGGGCUUAAAGGGCGCGUAGGCGGAUGAGCAAGUCCGGAGUGAAAUCCUUCGGCUUAACCGGAGAAGUGCUUUGGAUACUGCUUGUCUUGAGGGAGGUGAGGGGCAUGGUGGAACUUUCUGGUGGAGCGGUGGAAAUGCGUUGAUAUCAGAAGGAACGCCGGUGGCGAAAGCGACGUGCUGGCCCUCUUCUGACGCUGAGGCGCGAAAGCUAGGGGGAGCAAACGGG